rnacentral:rRNA from 1 species
UACGUAGGGUGCAGGCGUUAUCCGGAGUUACUGGGCGUAAAGGGCGUGUAGGUGGUUUUUGUAAGUCUGGCGUGAAAAUUUUUUCGGCUUAACCGGGAAAGGUCGUCGGAUACUGCAAGGCUAGAGGACGGUAGAGGCGUGUGGAAUUCCGGGUGUAGUGGUGAAAUGCGUAGAUAUCUGGAGGAACACCGGUGGCGAAGGCGGCAUUCUGGACCGAUAUUGACGCUGAGGAGCGAAAGCCAGGGGAGCAAACGGG